rnacentral:lncRNA from 10 species
GAAAAACGGCCACCUAAGAUGGAAGAAGCCAUGAGAUGAGUAAGCGUUGCCUACUCACAAGGUUGCAAACUGUCCUUCACUUACGAUUAUCCCCCAACGCCCCCUCCUAAAUCUGAUCAAUCGCAUGGAACUUGAUGGUUACAAAAGACAGAGCUAACAACUAGCCAGAAAAUGGCCGAAAGGUUUUGGCAAGCAACCUUCUUGGGAGAAAUGCAAAUACCAUUGAUUUUUCGAGGCCUCUCAUGGAUGAAGACAUGCUCCUUUUUACAAGUGUGGUCAGGUUCCCUGAUAACUCUUUGUAUGAUCAUGUGGUUGCAGUACCUUGCAGGAACGGGAACGUCAUUCUGAGGGUAGUCCACAUGCAAGUGUUCUAAAGUUGACAUCACUGCUUCAUCAUUCACCUCAUUUUCCCAGAACAGAAGCACCAAGAAAAUUAUCACCAUUAUUAUCAUCAGAGAUCCUUUUUUAAUAGCGAGAACAUUUAAAACCUACUCUUCGAAUAAUUUUGAAAUCUACAAAAUGGCAGCAUGGCCCAGGAGUGUGACUGGCAGUGAAGGAGCUGGGAAGACCUUG